rnacentral:tRNA from 1 species
GCGCCCUUAGCUCAGUUGGAUAGAGCGCGGGUCUUCUAAACCUGAGGUCGCAGGUUCGAAUCCUGCAGGGCGCGCCA